rnacentral:rRNA from 1 species
AGUGAACGCUGGCGGUAGGCCUAACACAUGCAAGUCGAACGGCAGCACAGUAAGAGCUUGCUCUUACGGGUGGCGAGUGGCGGACGGGUGAGGAAUACAUCGGAAUCUACUUUUUCGUGGGGGAUAACGUAGGGAAACUUACGCUAAUACCGCAUACGACCUACGGGUGAAAGCAGGGGAUCUUCGGACCUUGCGCGAUUGAAUGAGCCGAUGUCGGAUUAGCUAGUUGGCGGGGUAAAGGCCCACCAAGGCGACGAUCCGUAGCUGGUCUGAGAGGAUGAUCAGCCACACUGAAACUGAGACACGGUCCAGACUCCUACGGGAGGCAGCAGUGGGGAAUAUUGGACAAUGGGCGCAAGCCUGAUCCAGCCAUACCGCGUGGGUGAAGAAGGCCUUCGGGUUGUAAAGCCCUUUUGUUGGGAAAGAAAAGCAGCAGGUUAAUACCCCGCUGUUCCGACGGUACCCAAAGAAUAAGCACCGGCUAACUUCGUG